GAGCCUAACCAAAUUUUGUUCUCAGAAGAUUCACAAGAGAUAUAAUGUUAUAGUAACAACCAACAGCACUAUUAACAGGGAAGAGUUGUUAUAUGUGCUUCGUGGUGGCCGCCUUGACGACAAGGUGGAAGAAGCAGUUUUGGACACGAUUAGCCAGGAGGCAUACGGCAAAGGAUAUGGAGUGGUAUCGGUGUUCUUUCUUGUAAGAACAUGCUAUUCCUAAUUUCACCACGUUAGUUUUGAUUGAAAUUCAUGUUAGA